AUUGAACGCUGGCGGCAUGCUUUACACAUGCAAGUCGAGCGGCAGCGCGGGGGCAACCCUGGCGGCGAGCGGCGGACGGGUGAGUAAUGCAUCGGAACGUAUCCCGUAGUGGGGGACAACCCAGCGAAAGCUGGGCUAAUACCGCAUAUGCUCUACGGAGGAAAGUGGGGGACCCGCAAGGGCCUCACGCUAUGGGAGCGGCCGAUGUCCGAUUAGCUAGUUGGUGGGGUAAAGGCCCACCAAGGCGACGAUCGGUAGCUGGUCUGAGAGGAUGAUCAGCCACACUGGGACUGAGACACGGCCCAGACUCCUACGGGAGGCAGCAGUGGGGAAUUUUGGACAAUGGGGGCAACCCUGAUCCAGCCAUGCCGCGUGCGGGAAGAAGGCCUCGGUUGUAA
rnacentral:rRNA from 1 species